GGAUAUUGCGCAAUGGGGGCAACCCUGACGCAGCAACGCCGCGUGAAGGAUGAAGGUUUUCGGAUUUUAAACUUCUUUUCUUAAGGACGAAAUUUGACGGUACUUAAGGAAUAAGCUCCGGCUAACUACGUGCCAGCAGCCGCGGUAAUACGUAGGGAGCAAGCGUUGUCCGGAUUUACUGGGUGUAAAGGGUGCGUAGGCGGCAAUGCAAGUCAGAUGUGAAAUCUAUGGGCUCAACCCAUAAACUGCAUUUGAAACUGCGUUGCUUGAGUGAAGUAGAGGCAGGCGGAAUUCCCCGUGUAGCGGUGAAAUGCGUAGAGAUGGGGAGGAACACCAGUGGCGAAGGCGGCCUGCUGGGCUUUAACUGACGCUGAGGCACGAAAGCGUGGGUAGCAAACAGGA
rnacentral:misc_RNA from 1 species